rnacentral:lncRNA from 1 species
AGGGCAUGAAAGUAUAAUGACUUUCCUAAAACAGAAGAAAAAGGAAAGAUUAUAAUUUAGGACACAUUUCUUUUUAACAUAUAAGUAGUACAUCUAUUAUCAUUGUGACAGAGGCUGGCACUAAAGAAAAGUGCCAAGCAGAAGAGUGUGUGGAACUGAUCACCUUGACAGGGGAGGGGCCCCAAGGGAUUGGAAUCUUGAGAAGAUUCUGUCUAGAAGAGCAGUUGGUCUCUCAGUUGGGAGAAGCCAAAGAGAUAAGGGUAAAAAAGACUUUCUCCUGAGGGUUACUCACUUUUUCCUGUCUAUGUCUGGAAAUCCUUCCCCCCAACAUUUCCAAAUUGAAAAGAUUAUUGAAGAGGAAACCUGAGAAAGACAUCUUAAAUCUCUGCCCAAUUUUACCUCAGCUCCUGUUGCCCUGAGUCUUAAGUGUGGCCAAGGGGCCAAACCCAGGGGUUCUGUGACAAGUAAUAAUGCCAUCCAGUCAGUGAUGAUAUUGUACUGUAAGAACGGUGGUGACAAAGUUAAGUCCAUCCAAAGGGAAGAGGACCAAGAUGAUGGCAAAUGUCUUCUUUCAAUACUAAAAGGAAGAGUGAAAGCAUUGCUUGAGAAAUUUAGGAAGCAUCUGGUAGCUAAAGGCCAAAUUUACUAUACUAAGAAGAGAAAAGAGGAGAAACAGAGAUUAUGAAGCAGCAAGCAAGCAAUGACAGAAGAGUGUACCAGAUGAUGUGCUACUAUCCUGAGAGAAUUCUAGAGAAUCUACUAAAAACUUAUUUAAACUCAUAACACUUUAGCAUUUUUGCUGGAUAUAAAAUAAACUCAAAUAAAUUACCA